AACGAACGCUGGCGGCAUGCCUAACACAUGCAAGUCGAACGAGACCUCCGGGUCUAGUGGCGCAUGGGUGCGUAAAGCGUGGGAACCUGCCCUUAGGGUCGGAAUAACACUUCGAAAGGGGUGCUAAUACCGGGUAAUGUCUUCGGAUAAAACAUUCAUCGCCUUUGGAUGGGCCCGCGUUGGUUUAGCUAGUUGGUAGGGUAAAAGCCUACCAAGGCGACGAUCCAUAGCUGGUCUGAGAGGAUGAUCAGCCACACUGGGACUGAGACACGGCCCAGACUCCUACGGGAGGCAGCAGUGGGGAAUAUUGGACAAUGGGCGAAAGCCUGAUCCAGCAAUGCCGCGUGAGUGAUGAAGGCCUUAGGGUUGUAAAGCUCUUUUACCCGGGAUGAUAAUGACAGUACCGGGAGAAUAAGCUCCGGCUAACUCCGUG
rnacentral:rRNA from 1 species